GUCUCCGUUGGUGAACCAGCGGAGGGAUCAUGACAGAGUUGCAAAACUCCCAAACCAUUGUGAACGUUACCUAUCCCGUUGCUUCGGCGGGCGGCCCGGGCCCCGCGCCCGGCGCCCCCCGGCCCCCCGUGGGCGCCCGCCGGAGGUAAACCAAACCCUUGAAUUGCAUGGCCUCUCUGAGUCUUCUGUACUGAAUAAGUCAAAACUUUCAACAACGGAUCUCUUGGUUCUG
rnacentral:misc_RNA from 1 species